rnacentral:rRNA from 1 species
GACGAAGGGGGCUAGCGUUGUUCGGAAUUACUGGGCGUAAAGCGCGUGUAGGCGGUUAUCCAAGUCGGGUGUGAAAGCCUUGAGCUCAACUCAAGAAAUGCACUCGGAACUGGGUGACUAGAGGACCGGAGAGGAUAGUGGAAUUCCCAGUGUAGUGGUGAAAUACGUAGAGAUUGGGAAGAACACCAGUGGCGAAGGCGGCUAUCUGGACGGUUUCUGACGCUAAGACGCGAAAGCGUGGGGAGCAAACAGG